CUGAUAAUAGGUUGUGCACUUACUAUGGUCAAACUGUUCAUUACAAGGACUCUUGUAAAGUUAAAAAUCAGCCUUUGCGGAAAAAUAAAGUCAUUGUUUAAAAAAGGCAUACUAAUGAGAAACCCGGUUCUCUGAAAAGAAAAUAUGUGCUGCCUGCAUGGGCAAAAAGAAGUUUGAUCCGCCCGCUCUAUUAAGGGACCCAAGUUGGCUUGGAUUCUUAAGUCUAAUCAUUGACUUACGUGUGCAGGGAAAAGUGAAAAGGAGCAGUCAAUAGUGGCAUAUGGAUAGCGACUGCUCAAAGCUCAUGACUGGAAGAACAAAUGAUUUCCUUUUACCGAAAGCCAUGCAUGGAGGUAAUGGAUCCUUUGAAAAUGAAAGAUGGGGUACAUUCUCGGUGUCUGAAAGGUUAGAAAGUCUUUCAAAUCUUUGAUAAAGGGAACAAAGUAGAGUUCUUGUCUAAAGUGUGCACAAUUACUAAUCUAGUAACUGGCGAAGUGGUCUGGAAACCAAAAGAUGUAAGAAUAUCUACGUUGCUGAUUUUGAGUCUCUACAAGCUGGUGAUAUGAGCUGCUUGAAGAAGGACCUGGUUCGUGGUCUAUCAAAUUCAAAUUUCAAGGAGCACAGAGUGUGUGAUGCAUGUACUAAGGGAAAUACUUGAUGUUUCAAAUGGCAAGGCUAAUAUGAUGAUUCAGAUGAAGGAGGCAAGUGAAGACAAUGUCACAUCCUCUUCCGUUUCUCAAGAGGAACCUAGUACCCCAAUUACUACCACUGAAGUUGAAGAUGUAAUAUUAGGAACUCCUGAUGGUGAACAGAAUAGUGGAAGUUAUAAUUAUGUUAAUGUCAAUGAUGAUUCACAUAUGGAAGAACCUGGUCCUUCAAAUUCUGAAGUUCAAGUAUCCAACUAAAAGCAAAAAAGUUCACAUCCCUUCAAAAUGUAAUGACAUCCUUAGACUCUGGUAUUCAACCUAGUUCUAAAGUAAGGAACAUGUUUUCCGUCUUAGCAUUCUUGCCUUAGAUCAAGCCUAAGAACAUCAAAGAAGCAUUGAAAAUGCUAACUGGAUAGCCGCUAUGUAAGAAAAAGUCCAUCAGUUGAGAGGAAUCAAAUGUGGCCCUUGGUCCCUAGGCCUUCAUAUAGAAUAGUGAUUGGAACCUGGCCCAAAACACUCUCACUUGAAGGGUGCCAAGGGAAGUUUGAGGUACCCUAAGGGAAUGAAGAACCCGGUCCCCUUCUAGUGUUCAGGAGAUUCUUUUAAUUUGGUUGGAUAUGUUGAUGCUGAUUAUGCUGAAUAUCUGGGUGACAAAAAGGCACUUCUGGAACGACACAUUUUCCAGGGUACAAAGAAACAAACUGUUUGCUCCUUCUACUACUGAAGCUGAAUACGUGGUUGCUGCUUCUUGUGUGCUCAAAUAGUAUAGAUCAGGCAACAUCUUGAAGACUUUGGUGUAUUUACGGCUUGAACCUGGUACAAUACAAGAGGAUAAAUCACAUUGAUGUCAAACACCAAUUUCUUGGGGACAAUGUUGAAAAGAUUCUGAUUUGUAUGAAUUUUUGGAAGACGUAGCAGACAUCUUCACCAAGUUGAUAAGUAGGGAACAUCUUGAAAGAAAUAUUCUGGAGUUGGGGUUGAUCAUGCUCAACUACGGACCCGAUCCCUUAAUGUUUGGCUAUGUUAAGUAGGAAAGAUACAAUGCUAAAAAGUAAUUUAUGGUGACAUCUAACUCAAAUCUAUACCAUUAUAUGUAUACACAUAUGGCAGUUUCAGGACACAAACAAGUAAGAGUGACUUUGCACUUCUAGGAGUCCUUGCUCAAAAGUUUCCAAAAUCGUCAUGAAACCUGGUUUCUGUGACUCAGGUUAAUAGUCUCUUCAAUACUUAUAUGCCUUUUUAAGCUGCUGAAGUGUCUUGUCAUUAAUUUUUCCCCCUUUCCUGCCUCUCCUCCUAACUUUUGAAGUCCAAAAUGUUAAACCUUUUAUGAAUUGACCGGUUUCCCCAAAAAGACACUUCUUUAUCUUACACCCAAAUAAAACCGAUUCUUUUCUUCAAAACCAAAAUCAGCCUUGUCUAAAAAAAAUCCUUCUUUCCAAAUAUGCCAGAAGUGAACAACUCUCUCACUUUCUAAAGACCUAACUCUAUCAGAAUCAAAUUCCUAAGACUUCUUUAGUAGAUUUUGAUGGAAGCUUUGAAAGGGAACAUGGUAAAUCUCAUAUUCUAGAGCGUGAGGCUGAAGUUGUUGCUGGAUUUGUGAAAGCCUUGAAGGAUGGAGAAAUUGGUAAAUAUGAGGACUGAUUGAGGGAUCCCUCAAGUCCUUCUUAUUAAGUCAAUUUUAAUGAUGAUAUUUUUCUCUUUGAGUUAUGUGUAUAAAUGAUCGUCUGAUACAGUAAAAAGGGAUUUAUGAAAAGUAGACUGAUAGAUGAUGAAGUGGUGUGACCAGUUCCCUGUGAAAAAGAAAUAAAAAAAACAAAAAAACAAAAAAUAGGGGGUUAGCUGAGAAAGAUGCAGUAGAUAAUAAGGGUAAACAGAUUGCGAAGAAGAAGAGGGAGAGAUGGCUGCUCAGGGAUAGAAAGGGUAGUGUAAGUGAGGAACCUGGUUCCUUACAGAAGCAAAAGGUUGGGCCAUUAGGUUUGGAGGGAGAAGACCUUGAAGUCUCAAAAAGUGCAAUAAGGCAGAAUGUUGACUCUAUUAUUGCUGAAAGAAUGAUUUUU
rnacentral:lncRNA from 1 species